GAUCUUAUAGCCAUUGUAUUGAAACUUCAAUUAAAUCCUUGACUAGAAAAGAGAAGUAUCUAGCCACUCAUCGCGAGUUUAGUACAGCAAAAAUUGUUUAUAAUCAACAGCGAAAAGUACAAAAAAUAGAAAGAAAAUCUACUCUUCUUCUUCUUCUCUGUCGGCCUCCUCCCUCCGGCUCUCUUCUCUUUCUUCUAUUUAAAAAGUGAGGUCUUGUGUAGUUAGUGUCACGGCCACCCCUCU
rnacentral:lncRNA from 1 species